rnacentral:rRNA from 1 species
GUGAGGAAUUUUCCGCAAUGGGCGAAAGCCUGACGGAGCGACGCCGUGUGUAUGAUGAAGUCCUUCGGGAUGUAAAGUACUGUCAGUGGGGACGAUAUUGACUGUACCCACAGAGGAAGGCCCGGCUAACUACGUGCCAGCAGCCGCGGUAAUACGUAGGGGCCAAGCGUUGUCCGGAAUUAUUGGGCGUAAAGGGCGCGUAGGCGGCUUGAUAAGUCGGAUGUUAAAUCUACAGGCUCAACCUGUAGCCGCAUCCGAUACUGUCUUGCUGGAGAGUGGUAGAGGAAAGCGGAACUUCCGGUGUAGCGGUGAAAUGCGUAGAUAUCGGAAGGAACACCAGUGGCGAAGGCGGCUUUCUGGACCAUUUCUGACGCUGAGGCGCGAAAGCCAGGGGAGCAAACGGGAUUAGAAACCCCUGUAGUCC